rnacentral:rRNA from 1 species
UCGAUGCAACGCGAAGAACCUUACUACCCUUGACAUGUCCGGAACUUGCCAGAGAUGGCUUGGUGCCCGAAAGGGAAUCGGAACACAGGUGCUGCAUGGCUGUCGUCAGCUCGUGUCGUGAGAUGUUGGGUUAAGUCCCGCAACGAGCGCAACCCUUAUCAUUAGUUGCUACGCAAGGGCACUCUAAUGAGACUGCCGGUGACAAACCGGAGGAAGUGGGGAUGACGUCAAGUCCUCAUGGCCCUUAUGGGUAGGGCUUCACACGUCAUACAAUGGUCGGUACAGAGGGUUGCCAAGCCGCGAGGCGGAGCCAAUCCCACAAAGCCGAUCGUAGUCCGGAUUGUUCUCUGCAACUCGAGAGCAUGAAGUCGGAAUCGCUAGUAAUCGCAGGUCAGCAUACUGCGGUGAAUACGUUCCCGGGCCUU